GUCCCUUAGGGGUCAUCCGAUAAAAUUGGAACGAUACAUAGAAAAUUAUCAUGACCCUUGUGCAAGGAUGACACACACAAAUCGAGAAAUGAUCCAAAUUUUU